UACGUAGGGUCCGAGCGUUGUCCGGAAUUACUGGGCGUAAAGAGCUCGUAGGUGGUUUGUCGCGUUGUUCGUGAAAACUCACAGCUCAACUGUGGGCGUGCGGGCGAUACGGGCAGACUGGAGUACUGCAGGGGAGACUGGAAUUCCUGGUGUAGCGGUGGAAUGCGCAGAUAUCAGGAGGAACACCGGUGGCGAAGGCGGGUCUCUGGACCGAUGACUGACGCUGAGGCGCGAAAGCGUGGGGAGCAAACAGG
rnacentral:rRNA from 1 species